AAAAAAAAAAUAGAAGAAGACCUAAAAGAACGUGGCUCCUAUACUAGAAGAUGACUGGCAAGAAAGAAAAUGAUGACAAUCAGAAGGAUAGGAAAUACUUGAAUGGAUGAAGAAUUUGAAAAUUUGUUAUGAAUGGGUUCAUGACUACCAGGAAGGUGAAGAUGUAGAAUAAGUCGAUGCCACUGAAUCAAGGGAUGAAUGGAUUGAGGAUCGGCUACAAUGACACCUUUGACAUAU